GAAAUGCGAUAAGUAGUGUGAAUUGCAGAAUUCAGUGAAUCAUCGAAUCUUUGAACACACAUUGCGCCCCUCGGUAUUCCGUGGGGCAUGCCUGUUCGAGCGUCAUCUACACCCUCAAGCUCUGCUUGGUGUUGGGCGUCUGUCCCGCCUCCGCGCGCGGACUCGCCCCAAAUGCAUUGGCAGCGGUUCCUUGCCCCCCUCUUUGCGCAGCACAUUGCCAUUCGAGGCGGCGGCGGCCCGCGUCCAACAAGCUCAACCCCCCCGUCUUUGACCUCGGAUCAGGUAGGGAUACCCGCUGAACUUAAGC
rnacentral:misc_RNA from 1 species